rnacentral:rRNA from 1 species
UACAGAGGGCUCAAGCGUUGUUCGGAUUCAUUGGGCGUAAAGGGUGCGUAGGCGGCUUGGCAAGUCGGGUGUGAAAGCUCGGAGCUUAACUCCGAAACUGCAUUCGAUACUGCCGUGCUUGAGGACUGGAGAGGAGACUGGAAUUUACGGUGUAGCGGUGAAAUGCGUAGAUAUCAGGAGGAACACCAAUAGCGAAGGCAGCUCGCUGGGACGGUACUGACACUAAGGCGCGAAAGCGUGGGGAGCGAACAGG